UACGAGGGGGGCAAGCGUUGUUCGGAAUUAUUGGGCGUAAAGGGCGCGUAGGCGGUGCGGUAAGUCACCUGUGAAAACUCUGGGCUCAACUCAGAGCCUGCAGGCGAAACUGCCGUGCUUGAGUGUGGGAGAGGUGCGUGGAAUUCCCGGUGUAGCGGUGAAAUGCGUAGAUAUCGGAAGGAACACCGGUGGCGAAAGCGGCACGCUGGGCCUCUUCUGACGCUGAGGCGCGAAAGCCAGGGGAGCAAACGGG
rnacentral:rRNA from 1 species